UACGUAGGGUGCGAGCGUUGUCCGGAAUUAUUGGGCGUAAAGAGCUCGUAGGCGGCCUGUCGCGUCGGUUGUGAAAGCCCGGGGCUUAACCCCGGGUCUGCAGUCGAUACGGGCAGGCUAGAGUUCGGUAGGGGAGAUCGGAAUUCCUGGUGUAGCGGUGAAAUGCGCAGAUAUCAGGAGGAACACCGGUGGCGAAGGCGGAUCUCUGGGCCGAUACUGACGCUGAGGAGCGAAAGCAUGGGGAGCGAACAGG
rnacentral:rRNA from 1 species